CCUACGGGGAGCUGCAGUGAGGAAUAUUGGUCAAUGGACGAGAGUCUGAACCAGCCAAGUAGCGUGAAGGAUGACUGCCCUAUGGGUUGUAAACUUCUUUUAUAUGGGAAUAAAAUGUUCAACGUGGGGGAUUUUGUUUGUCCCAUAUGAAUAAGGAUGGGCUAAUUCCGUGCCAGCAGCCGCGGUAAUACGGAGCAUCCGAGCGUUAUCCGGAUUUCUUGGGUUUGAAGGGAGCGUAGGUGGAUUGUUAAGUCAGUUGUGAAAGUUUGCGGCUCAACCGUAGAAUUGCAGUUGAAACUGGCAGUCUUGAGUACAGUAGAGGUGUGCGGAAUUCGUGGUGUAGCGGUGAAAUGCUU
rnacentral:rRNA from 1 species